rnacentral:ncRNA from 1 species
CUGCCCUUAGUACGAGAGGACCGGGUGGACUGGCCGCUGGUGUAUCUGUUGCACUGCCAAGUGCAUGGCAGAGUAGCCAAGCCGGGACGGGAUAAACGCUGAAGGCAUCUAAGCGUGAAGCCCCCUCAAGAUGAGAUAUCCCAACGCAAGUUGUAAGACCCCUUGAAGACGACGAGGUAGAUAGGACAGAGGUGGAAGUGCAGUAAUGUAUGGAGCUGACUGUUACUAAUCGGUCGAGGGCAUAACCAA